rnacentral:rRNA from 1 species
UACGUAGGGUGCAAGCGUUGUCCGGAAUUAUUGGGCGUAAAGAGCUCGUAGGCGGUUUGUCGCGUCUGCUGUGAAAACUCGGGGCUUAACCCUGGGCGUGCAGUGGAUACGGGCUGGCUGGAGGCAGGCAGGGGAGAACGGAAUUCCCGGUGUAGCGGUGGAAUGCGCAGAUAUCAGGAGGAACACCGGUGGCGAAGGCGGGUCUCUGGGCCGUUACUGACGCUGAGGAGCGAAAGCGUGGGGAGCGAACAGG